CAUUCCAGGCGGGCGCGUGGUGCCGCCCCUCACAAGGGCGGAGAAUAGGGAAUCGGGUGCGAGUCCCGAGCGGCCCCGCCACUGUCACCGGUGAGCCCCCUUCGGAAGACCACCUGGCCUGAGGCCGGGGAAGGUGAGGGCGGGCGAGGAACCGGGAGCCAGGAGACCUGCCACGCGCUGAGACUGCGU
rnacentral:ncRNA from 1 species